GUGUGUGUGUGUGUGUGUGUGUGUGUGUGUGUGUGUGUAUGUAUAUAUCUGCCCGCCCAUGUGGAUGUUUUGUGUCAGGCAGCACAUGCAAUCAGAUGAAUUACAUUAUAGACAUGUGCUCAGACAGUAACGCACACGCACCAAACCUCCUGGGUUCUUAUUAAAGCUAAAGCUGGAGUGAACCUUCAAAAACGCCAGUUCAUUAGUGAUCCAGGGAUAAGCUGAACCCAGCUGGGGAAGCAGCGCUGCUAUUGAUGAGAAGAUAUGAAGCAGAAAGAACUCCUGCCAAAAACACCAGCUCUGCGCUCCAUUUCGCUGCUCCUCAUUGGACAUUCAACUAAAAAUCAUUCAGACAUGUCAAGGUGCGAUGUAGACGUACAGGCCUUUUGAUUCAGAAGCUUAAAUUGGAGAAUGCGGGGAGAAGAUCUUGAAGGUUAUAAAGUGAAAGUUCAAACAAAAAUGGUUAACAAAGGUCUGAUAUCAAGCAAUUAUUCUCUCCUGUUUUACAGGCUGUUACGGUGUGAAGCCAGACUCUGUCAGGGAUUCCUGGAUGUGCUCCAGGUGUGCAAAAGGAGCCUGGACAGUGGAGUGUUGUCUCUGUAACUUGCGGGGAGGAGCUUUGAAGACAACCACAGACAACCGGUGGGUCCAUGUCAUCUGUGCCAUCGCUGUAGCUGAAGCUCGCUUCGUCAACGCCAUUGAGAGGGAGCCGGUGGAUGUCGGUGCCGUUCCAGAUACACGCAAGAAUCUGGUAAAUUCAGGCAGAGACGAAGCAAAAAUGUGUUCAUCUCUCAUGAUUUAAUGUGAUGUCAGACAGACGGGGAUCAACAUUUAAACCAAAGCAAGGUCAUCUUUACAGUCACAAUCUUCAUCCUCUGCCUUUAGUUUCUAACUUACUCACUGCAGCCGUUAAAUUUCUUUUCUUGUCCGAGCGUUAUGGACUUCUCUCUUCCUACCUUAUCUCCUUCUCCUACGGCCUUUUCCCAUAUUUAAGCGAUCUCACUGCUUCUGUAUCCGCCACUCUCUCCGUAGCCCUCCCUGCUAUCCCUGGUGAAUGGAUAGAUCGUUUUUAGCGAGCUGUGGAGGACAUGGGGUACCCGUGCUGAGGGGAAUGGCUGAAUAAUCUGCUGUCAUUUCUCACUGCGCCAAAUGAACUGCAUAAAUCCCGUGGGUAGGAGGCAAUUUCCCCAUUGCUGCCGUGUCUUUGAACACAACUUGUCCUCUUUCUCCCCAUCCCCCCUUCCCGGUCUCUGCUCUUCCUCCAGUCUCAUGAGCCCACCUCACAGGCAAUGGCUGUGCUUUCUUGUGCAUUAUAACAAAUCUACACAUAAUGUCACCGCUCUCCCUCCCCAUCUCUCUGUAUAAUCUAUCAGAGACAAGUCAUUUGCGUCCGAGUGCUGUCAAAGCAGGUUUCCUCCUCCGUCUCCUCCUUAAGAGGCCAUAAGAAGAAGCUCUGUGGUCUAAUGAUUUGGAUGACUGGGCUGAUCAAAUGUGAACACGCACACUUGGAAACCAGUUAAUAUUGCAGUGUGCUCAGCAAUCUGUGUUUCCCCCUCUAUCUUCAAACAUUGGGUUUUCAGGGACCGCGCUGCUUUUGUCUUGGAUGUUUUAGAAUUUCUCAGCCACAGUAACACCGUUAUUCCUCAAACAUGUAAUGUAAAGAGAGUGUUGUAUCUUGCGCCUAGAGGCAGUUUCUGUUCUUGUAAGAAAAUGGCCUCAAGCUUGGAAAAACAAGCUGCUUAAAUAAAUGAUCGUACGAUCUUUAAAACUGUUUUCCACCUACCAUGCCAGGUCAAUUCGCCCGUGACAUGCAACAACACACAAACCAAAACAAUGAAAAUGAUUUUCAGUUUUAUCAGUAUUUGCUACCGUUAUAAUUUUGGAGUUUGCAGUUUACUUCAGAGGGUAGAUUUAGUGUGCACUGGCAUACAAAGUGUAUUAUGCUACCAGAGGAUAGACACAAAAUCAGACAUCUUACAAUUCUAUAAAUGGAGGCUCGCAAGGUUGUAGUUAAAUUCUUUCAAAAGUUACAGAUGAACAAACAAAUGGACAUACAACUAAUGAUACUUGGUGCUAGAUGUCCCCAGCUAUGCCUGCGAUCUCAGCAGUGGAAAAGUAUUCCAGCUGUUGAAAACUAUAAACCCACACCAGCCUGUGAAAUAUUACACGACACCGCUCUGUUGAGACCUUUGCCAAACGAGGUCACACAAUGCAAACGUAUUUGCACAGGGGGACUUGAGAGCUCACCUGCAGACGUACGCCAUAAGCACACGCAUCACCAGUGUUUGCGUAAUUGCUUCAAUGCCAGAGGGGA